rnacentral:sRNA from 1 species
UUGCUUCCAAAGGAUCAGGGUAAGCCACAUAAGUGUUGCAUUUAUCGUGUAGAUCUUUGCUAAUAUUGUGGAUUAUGUCUUGUGACUUUUACCUUUACCCAACUUGAACAUGUAACUUUCUCCCAUAAAAUACAGUGAAGGAUAAUUUUGUAAUGUAAGUGACUUAUAUAAACAAGCCAUUAUUCUAAGAUACAGAUGCUUUGUUCCUAUGACUUCCUAUCUCCCCUGCCUUGCCUGACUCAUAAGGCUUUUAAUUCUCACAGCCUUCUCCCUCUUCAACCCGUUUUAACACCACAGAUACUGGCUGGCUCUCAGCCCCAUAUGCAGGCUCAGGCCAUCCUUACUUUCCUCCACCCAUAUUAUAUCUCACCCUAUUUCUGAACAUCUGCAUAGGUUAAAUGGCCUCCAGCCCUGCCUGUAGAAUCAUGCAUUGAUUAUAAUCAUGCCAAAAUUAUAACUGAAUACAUGUCAUGGAUCUUCAGGGUUACUCAAGUGGCUUAAACUUCAAGUGUUUCAUCUACAAUUGUUAAGAGAUCACGGUCCUUAAUGAAUGAAUACAUGGUGUCAUGGAAAGAUUUUGUUCCAAAUCUCUUUUGAAGAAAACACUAAGGAAUGGCAGGAGGGGCAAGAAAAUGCCAUGGGGAUAUAAGUAAGACCUGAGUUUUGUGUUAGCAUGUAGGUUAAAGCAUGUGGGUGUACAUUACCUUAUAGUUCUGUAAUGCUUAGACUCAGGAAAGCAGAUGGUGCUUCUGAAAAGAACACCAGGUUGCUUAUUCUUUGGGUUUGGCCACAGGGAUCACCCUGAGAAAGCUGGUACGGGGCGCCACCCUGGACAUCGUGGAUGGCAUGGCUCAGCUCAUGGAAGUACUUUCCGUCACUCCAACUCAGAGGUAGUAAUGCCACAGUUUAGGUUACCAGUUAUUGGGGUUCCUUGCCUCAGAGGGGAAAAGCUCAUUUUAACAGCAAAGUUACUGACAGCUGAGAGUAAUGACCAGCAGGAAGAAGCUUUUUAGGAGACAGGAACCUAGGUUAUUAAUAUAUCCUUACUGAUUUCUUUCCCCAGCCCUGAGAACAAUGACCUUAUUUCCUACAACAGUGUCUGGGUUGCAUGCCAGCAGAUGCCUCAGAUACCAAGAGAUAACAAAGCUGCAGCUCUUUUGAUGCUGACCAAGAAUGUGGAUUUUGUGAAGGAUGCACAUGAAGAAAUGGAGCAGGCUGUGGAAGAAUGUGACCCUUACUCUGGCCUCUUGAAUGAUACUGAGGAGAACAACUCUGACAACCACAAUCAUGAGGAUGAUGUGUUGGGGUUUCCCAGCAAUCAGGACUUGUAUUGGUCAGAGGACGAUCAAGAGCUCAUAAUCCCAUGCCUUGCGCUGGUGAGAGCAUCCAAAGCCUGCCUGAAGAAAAUUCGGAUGUUAGUGGCAGAGAAUGGGAAGAAGGAUCAGGUGGCACAGCUGGAUGACAUUGUGGAUAUUUCUGAUGAAAUCAGCCCUAGUGUGGAUGAUUUGGCUCUGAGCAUAUAUCCACCUAUGUGUCACCUCACCGUGCGAAUCAAUGUAAGUACUGGCUUUGAGGGAAUAGCUACAGAACAAAUGGGCAGAAUUUCACUAAUCACUAGUAUUUCCUGUAAGCUAUAGGGUACAUAUUUAUUAGUCACAUUUGGAUGGAAGUACAACAGUAAUGUCACAGUUCUUGCAUGCGUUUGGGGUUGAUAAAUAUUCACUGAAGUUGAAUUAUAAUAGCCAUGAGCUUUGGUAGUUCUCUCUUCCAUAAUCACCUGGGUAAUCAUUCAGAAAAGCCCAAAGGCCUUAGAAAAUGAUGCUUUAAGGCUGGGCGCGGUAGCUCACACCUGUAAUCCCAGCACUCCAGGAGGCUGAGACGGGCGGAUCAGCUGAGGUCAGGAGUUGAGACCAGCCUGGCCAACAUGGCGAAACCUUGUCUCUACUAAGAAUACAAAAAUUAGCCGGGCAUCAUGCGCCUAUAAUCCCAGCUACUUGGAAGGCUUAAGCAGGAGAAUCGCUUGAAGCCGGGAAGUGGAGGUUGCAGUGAUUGCAGUGAGCUGACAUCGCGCCACUGCACUCCAGCCUGAGCAACAGAGCAAGACUCUGUCUCAAA